rnacentral:sRNA from 1 species
AACCACUUGCAUUGGCGAUUUAAUCGGUAUAAUUAAAAGGUCGUUAAGAUUCGAGCUGGUAGUGCGGUAUUAGUCUGUCAUUCCUCUCUAGGUUUAAACGAUAAUAACGGGCAAAGCCCACAUUAACUUAUUUAGGAAUUAACAUGGCAACUGGUAUCGUAAAGUGGUUCAACGACUCGAAGGGCUUCGGCUUCAUUACUCCUGACGAAGGCGGCGAAGAUUUGUUCGCUCACUUCUCGGCUAUUCAAUCGAAUGGCUUCAAGUCCCUGAAAGAAAACCAACGCGUUUCUUUCGAAGUGACUACAGGUCCUAAGGGCAAGCAAGCUUCGAACAUCCAAGCAAUCUAAGCAUCGCUUAGCAAGCUGAGAUGAAGAAAAAAUCCCCGACAUGUCGGGGAUUUUUUU